GGUCAAACAGAAAAGAGCGCAAGGUGAAUGCCUUGGCAUAUGGAGCCGAAGAAGGACGUUAGCAAACGAAAGCCACGGUUAGCUGCAACAAGCUAUGACCCGUGGGUAUCCGAAUGGGGAAACCCACAUGAUGAAGAGUCAUGUACCAUAUACUGAAUACAUAGGUAUAUAGGAGGAAAACCCGGAGAACUGAAACAUCUAAGUACCCGGAGGAAGAGAAAGAAAACUCGAUUUUCUUAGUAGCGGCGAGCGAAAAGGAAAGAGCCCAAAUUUGCAUAGGCUUUAGGAUAUCUAGUAGAAUUAUCUGGAAAGAUAAACCAUAGAAGGUAAAGGUCCUGUAUACGAAAGAUAGAAUAAAGUAGCAUAAAAG
rnacentral:rRNA from 1 species